ensembl:lncRNA
AGAAAUAAUAACCCAUAUCCAUACAUAAUCUAUGGGGGCUUCCCAGGUGGCACCAGUGGUAAAGAAUCCAUCCACAAACAUAGACAACAUAAGAGAGGCGAGUUCGACCCCUGGGUCAGGAAGAUCCUCUGGAGUAGGAAAUGGCACUCCACUCCAGUACUCUUGCCUGGAAAAUUUACAUGGGCAGAGAAGCCUGGUAGGUUGCAGUCCAUGGGGUCGCAAAAAGUCAGACAUAACUGAGCGGCUGAGCACAUACAUAAUCUAUAACAUAACUCCAUACUUUAUUCAGAUUUCCUAGUUUUCACCCUAGUGAAAAAAGCCCUAGGGUUUUUCUUUCCUGUUUCAGGAUCUGAUUCAGGAAAUAUCAUUACAAUUAUUUGUCAUGUUUCUUUAGGCUCCUCUUGUUUAUGGCUAUUUCUCAAAAUUUCCAUGUUUUUGAUGACUUUGACAGUUUGAGAGUAUUGGUCAGGUAUUUUAUGGAAUGUCUCUCAAUUGGAUUUGUUUGAUGAUUUUCUUAUGAUUUAGACUGGGGUUGGGGUGCUUUUGGAAGGAAGACCACACAGGUAAAGUGCUAUCCUCAUCACAUCAGGUCAAAGGUGUGUACCAUCACGACUUAUCGCUGAAGACGUUGACCUUCCUUGAUCACCUGCUGAGGCAGUGUUUCUCAGGUUUAUCCAUUUCUGGCUUGUACUCUUUGGAAGGAAGUCAUUUCAUAACCCGCCGUUAAAGAGCGGGGAGUUCCACUGCACCUCCUUGAGGGCAGCAGUGCCGUUUUCCUCUCAGGCACCCACACCCAGCCACCAAGCUCAGACCAUUUUACCUCCUAGACACCUCUCAAGCUCCUGCUCUGCUUGUCCUUCUCCUAGCCAUGGUCUUGCUUUGGCUUUCUUUUCUCAGCAAGGCCACCAUGACUUCCUCCAUGUUCUGCCACCUUAUCUCUACCCUGCCAAGACCUCACUCCACUGACUGCCCAGUUAAUCCAAGCUGUUCAUCCUGGCACACACUCUGUGAUCUGCCCCCUCAUACUUGCUCUUACCUCUCACACCCACCUGUAGCACCAGCAAAUGCCCAACUAACCAUUCUCUCUCUCAUACUCACCUGUGCUGCCAGCUCUGC